rnacentral:tRNA from 1 species
GCCCCGGUGGUGAAACUGGUAGACACGCUUGACUUAGGAUCAAGUGCCGCAAGGCUUGGAGGUUCAAGUCCUCUCCGGGGCACCA